rnacentral:tRNA from 1 species
UCCCUGGUGGCUCAGACGGUAAAGCAUCUGCCUAGAAUGCAGGAGACCCAGGUUCAGUCCCUGGGUUGAGAG